rnacentral:tRNA from 1 species
GGGGGAUUAGCUCAUUUGGCUAGAGCGUUUGACUGGCAGUCAAAAGGUGGUCGGUUCGAUCCCGAUAUCCUCCA